UACGUAGGGGGCUAGCGUUGUCCGGAAUCAUUGGGCGUAAAGAGCGUGUAGGCGGCCCGGUAAGUCCGCUGUAAAAGUCAAAGGCUCAACCUUUGAAUGUCAGUGGAUACUGCCGGGCUAGAGUCCGGAAGAGGCGAGUGGAACUCCUGGUGUAGCGGUGAAAUGCGCAGAUAUCAGGAGGAACACCGGUGGCGAAGGCGGGUCUCUGGGCAACAACUGACGCUGAGGAGCGAAAGCGUGGGGAGCGAACAGG
rnacentral:rRNA from 1 species